CAAAGGGGCAUCAGCGACUUCCUGCAGCUGCCAUCCAAGGAGAGCCGCGCAUCCGACGGAGACACGCCCGGGACCAGCGGCCUGGAAGCUCGGCCCUUGCCACUGGAUCCUGCCGAAGAGAGAGAGUGCUUGGAGGAAGAGUAGAUGUGACCUGACCUCGAUUUUCAUGUUAAAAUGCUCCUCCUACUCCAGCUGGGUUUUGUACAUUUGCAUAGCUCUUUACUUUUUUUUAUUACUUCCUUUCAACUUUUGUACGAGCCUUAAAGUCUGAGAGAUGGCACAAACACUGGAGAAAUUAAUUAGUUUUUACUGUUUGGCACUUAAUGUUCAUUGUAAAGCACUGGUUUAAUUUUUAUCUUGGUUUGCUUGAGUUCCUCCUGCUUUUGUCUUUCAUCUUCUGCCUGCCUUGUGUUUGUGCAAGACUUGCAUGAUCAUGGUUGUUCCGUUACUGCAAAGCAGAUCCUCGUUUUUAAUAAACUGAAACCAUCUGAGCACACA